AACAGUGGCUAAGACUGGAUAGGAAGAUAAAAGGCAUCUUUUAUCUUUUAAAAGACCUAGUAAUAGGUAUGCUUUAGGAGGGGCUUGCGCCAUAUUAGUUAGUUGGUAGGGUAAUGGCCUACCAAGACGAUGAUGUGUAGCUGGACUGAGAGGUUGAACAGCCACAUUGGGACUGAGACACGGCCCAAACUCCUACGGGAGGCAGCAGUAGGGAAUUUUCGGCAAUGGAGGAAACUCUGACCGAGCAACGCCGCGUGAAUGACGAAGUACUUCGGUAUGUAAAGUUCUUUUAUCAAGGAAGAAAAGCAAAUGGCGAACCAUUUGUUUGCCGGUACUUGAUGAAUAAGCCCCGGCUAAUUAUGUGCCAGCAGCCGCGGUAAGACAUAAGGGGCAAGUGUUAUCCGGAAUUAUUGGGCGUAAAGGGUGCGUAGGCGGUCUAGUAAGUCAGUGGUGUAAUGGCAACGCUUAACGUUGUCCGGCUAUUGAAACUGCUAAACUUGAGUUAGAUAGAGGCGAGUGGAAUUCCAUGUGUAGCGGUAAAAUGCGUAAAUAAAUGGAGGAACACCAGAGGCGUAGGCGGCUCGCUGGGUCUUAACUGACGCUGAGGCACGAAAGCGUGGGGAGCAAACAGGAUUAGAUACCCUGGUAGUCCACGCCGUAAACGAUGAGUACUAAGUGUCGGGUUAAACCGGUACUGAAGUUAACACAUUAAGUACUCCGCCUGAGUAGUAAGUACGCAAGUAUGAAACUUAAAGGAAUUGACGGGACUCCGCACAAGCGGUGGAUCAUGUUGUUUAAUUCGAAGAUACCCGAAAAACCUUACCAGGUCUUGACAUGUUUUUGCAAAAUGAUAGUAAUAUCGUGGAGGUUACCAGAAACACAGGUGGUGCAUGGUUGUCGUCAGCUCGUGUCGUGAGAUGUUAGGUUAAGUCCUAAAACGAGCGAAACCCUUAUCGUUAGUUGCCAGCACGUUAUGGUGGGGACUUUAACGAGACUGCCAAUGAUAAAUUGGAGGAAGGUGAGGAUCACGUCAAAUCAGCAUGCCCCUUAUGACCUGGGCUACAAACGUGAUACAAUGGCUGUUACAAAGGGUAGCUGAAACGCAAGUUCUUGGCCAAUCCCCAAAAACAGUCCCAGUCCGGAUUGAAGUCUGCAACUCGACUUCAUGAAGUUGGAAUCGCUAGUAAUCGCGAAUCAGCAUGUCGCGGUGAAUACGUUCUCGGGGUUUGUACACACCGCCC
rnacentral:rRNA from 1 species